CCUACGGGAGGCAGCAGUGAGGAAUAUUGGACAAUGGAGGCAACUCUGAUCCAGCCAUGCCGCGUGCAGGAAGACUGCCCUAUGGGUUGUAAACUGCUUUUAUACAGGAAGAAACAUUCUCACGUGUGAGAACUUGACGGUACUGUAAGAAUAAGGAUCGGCUAACUCCGUGCCAGCAGCCGCGGUAAU
rnacentral:rRNA from 1 species